UACGUAGGGCGCGAGCGUUGUCCGGAAUCAUUGGGCGUAAAGAGCUCGUAGGCGGCCUGUCGCGUCUGCUGUGAAAUCCCGGGGCUUAACCCCGGGCGUGCAGUGGAUACGGGCUGGCUGGAGGCAGGCAGGGGAGAACGGAAUUCCCGGUGUAGCGGUGAAAUGCGCAGAUAUCUGGAGGAACACCGGUGGCGAAGGCGGCAUCCUGGACCGGCAUUGACGCUGAGGAGCGAAAGCCAGGGGAGCAAACGGG
rnacentral:rRNA from 1 species